rnacentral:rRNA from 1 species
UAGGGGGUACGACGGCCAGUGAUUAGAGUUUGAUCCUGGCUCAGAAUAAACGCUGGCGGCGUGUCUUAAGCAUGCAAGUCGGACGGCAAGCCGCCUUCGGGCGGCCUAGAGUGGCGGACUGGUGAGUAACACGUGGGUGAUAUACCUUUUGGACGGGGAUAGCCCCUAGAAAUAGGGGGUAAUACCGGAUAAGGCCGUGCGGGUUGGAGCCGCACGGGGAAAGGCGCUAUGGCGCCGCCGAAAGAAUAGCCUGCGACCUAUCAGCUUGUUGGUGAGGUAAAGGCCCACCAAGGCGAUGACAGGUAUCCGGCCUGAGAGGGUGAACGGACACAUUGGGACUGAGAUACGGCCCAGACUCCUACGGGAGGCAGCAGCUAAGAAUAUUCCGCAAUGGAGGAAACUCUGACGGAGCAACGCCGCGUGGACGAUGAAGGCCGGAAGGUUGUAAAGUCCUUUUAUAAUUGAGGAAUAAGCGGGACAGGGAAUGGUUCCGCGGUGACUGUAGAUUAUGAAUAAGCACCGGCUAAUUACGUGCCAGCAGCCGCGGUAACACGUAAGGUGCGAGCGUUAUUCGGAAUUAUUGGGCGUAAAGGGCACGCAGGCGGCUUUGCAAGCUUGGUGUGAAAUCUCAGGGCUCAACCCUGAAACUGCAUUGAGAACUGCAUGGCUAGAGUUAGUGAGGGGAAACCGGAAUUCCAGGUGUAGGGGUGAAAUCUGUAGAUAUCUGGAAGAACACCAAUGGCGAAGGCAGGUUUCCAGCACAUAACUGACGCUCACGUGCGAAGGUGCGGGGAUCAAACAGGAUUAGAUACCCUGGUAGUCCGCACAGUAAACGAUGUGCACUAUGUGUCUGGGCAUAAGCCCGGGUGCCAAAGCAAACGCGAUAAGUGCACCGCCUGGGGAGUAUGCCCGCAAGGGUGAAACUCAAGGAUUGACGGGGCCCGCACAAGCGGUGGAGCAUGUGGUUUAUCGAUGGUACGCGAGGAACCUUACUGGUUUGACAUACAGUGAUGAUAUAGAAGAAUAUGUCAGUGUAGCAAUACACCGCUGAACAGGUGCUGCAUGCCUGUCGUCAGCUCAUGCCGUGAGGUUCGUAGUCCGGCACAGGCCACCCUACUCUGCCAGUUAUACAGGUAACUAGACCUUGCGUACUGCCGGUCAAGUCGAAAAGCGCGGGAUACAU